UACGAAGGGGGCUAGCGUUGCUCGGAAUCACUGGGCGUAAAGGGCGCGUAGGCGGCGUUUUAAGUCGGGGGUGAAAGCCUGGGGCUCAACCACAGAAUUGCCUUCGAUACUGGGACGCUUGAGUAUGUUAGAGGUUGGUGGAACUGCGAGUGUAGAGGUGAAAUUCGUAGAUAUUCGCAAGAACACCGGUGGCGAAGGCGGCUCACUGGACCAUUACUGACGCUGAGGCGCGAAAGCGUGGGGAGCAAACAGG
rnacentral:rRNA from 1 species